UAUUAAGAUGGCAGAGCCCCGGCAAUUGCAUAAAAACUUAAGACUUUUAGACCCCAGAGGUUCAACUCCUCUUCUUAAUAU
rnacentral:tRNA from 1 species